GACGAACGCUGGCGGCGUGCUUAACACAUGCCAGUCGAACGAUGACGACCGAGCUUGCUCGGUCUGAUUAGUGGCGAACGGGUGAGUAACACGUGAGCAACCUGCCCUUCACUCUGGGAUAACCUCGGGAAAUCGGGGCUAAUACCGGAGAUGAGCUCCUGUCGCACGGCGGGUGUUGGAAAGUUUUUCGGUGAAAGAUGGGCUCGCGGCCUAUCAGUUUGUUGGUGAGGUAGUGGCUCACCAAGGCGAUGACGGGUAGCCGGCCUGAGAGGGCGAACGGCCACCCGGGGACUGAGACAGGGCGCAGACGCCUACGGGAGGCAGCAGGGGGGAAUAUUGCGCAGUGGGGGAGAGUGUGAGGCAGCGACCCUGCGUGAGGGAUGACGGCCUUCGGGUUGUAAACCUCUUUCAGCAGGGAAGAAGCGAAAGUGACGGUACCUGCAGAAGAAGCGCCGGCUAACUACGUG
rnacentral:rRNA from 1 species